GUCCACGCUGUAACGAUGGCACUAGGUGUCGCGGUAUUGACCCUGCGGUGCCGCAGCUAACGCAUUAAGUGCCCGCCUGGGACUACGGCCGCAAGGUUAAACUCAAGGAAUUGACGGGCCCGCACAAGCGGUGGAGCAUGUGGUUCAAUUCGACGCAACGCGAAGAACCUUACCCGGGCUAGACAACAGAGGACAGCCUUAGAAUAAAGGUCUUCCCUUCGGGGACCUCUGGUUCAGGUGCUGCAUGGCUGUCGU
rnacentral:rRNA from 1 species